UACAUAGGGGGCAAGCGUUGUCCGGAAUCACUGGGCGUAAAGGGAGCGUAGGCGGAUGUUUAAGUUAAGUGUGAAAGCCUGGAGCUUAACUCCAGAAAUGCACUUAAUACUGGAUAUCUAGAGUGUGGGAGAGGUAAGUGGAAUUCCUAGUGUAGCGGUAGAAUGCGUAGAGAUUAGGAGGAACACCAGAGGCGAAGGCGGCUUACUGGACCACAACUGACGCUGAGGCUCGAAAGUGUGGGGAGCAAAC
rnacentral:rRNA from 1 species